GGGUUGUGAGGUUAAGCGACUAAGCGUACACGGUGGAUGCCCUGGCAGUCAGAGGCGAUGAAGGGCGUGCUAAUCUGCGAUAAGCGCCGGUAAGGUGAUAUGAACCGUUAUAACCGGCGAUACCCGAAUGGGGAAACCCAGUGUGACUCGUCACACUAUCAUUAACUGAAUCCAUAGGUUAAUGAGGCGAACCGGGGGAACUGAAACAUCUAAGUACCCCGAGGAAAAGAAAUCAACCGAGAUUCCCCCAGUAGCGGCGAGCGAACGGGGAGGAGCCCAGAGCCUGAAUCAGCAUGUGUGUUAGUGGAAGCGUCUGGAAAGGCGCGCGAUACAGGGUGACAGCCCCGUACACAAAAGCGCAUGUGCUGUGAGCUCGAUGAGUAGGGCGGGACACGUGGUAUCCUGUCUGAAUAUGGGGGGACCAUCCUCCAAGGCUAAAUACUCCUGACUGACCGAUAGUGAACCAGUACCGUGAGGGAAAGGCGAAAAGAACCCCGGCGAGGGGAGUGAAAAAGAACCUGAAACCGUGUACGUACAAGCAGUGGGAGCACCCUUUGGGUG
rnacentral:rRNA from 1 species